AACAAUGAAAUAAUGCGAUAGAAUUCGAGAUUACAACACGAGUUAUAUCCGUGUCAUCUAUUUUAUAUCGCUAUUCAUAAAUUCUAUCUCGGGAAAAAACUCGGUUUUAAAAGCCAAAAAUACAGAAACUAUAAUUACGGCAACCGUUUAUAAUUUGAAAACGAGGCGUACUUUUGACUUCUAUUAUAUAUUGCUUACCGUAUCAAACGAAGAUAACAGGAGUUUAUUUAAAUGUCAACAUUUAAAUAAUAUUUAGUCUUUUUUAUUAAGCAAGUUGUUUCCUUUAAAAGAUAAAAUUUAUAAUUUCUCAUGAAGACUAAGUUUACAGGUUUUUGUUUUUGGUUUGUAAGCUUCACAACGUUUUAUAACUUUCCACUUUAUAAUAGGAUCUGGAUCAUCAGAACUCACAGUGGCUCGCUAUAACUAACCUUGAUCGAAUUUCUAUUGAAUAUUUUGCGUAGUUUGUGAUUCACAGAGAAAACAUAUGCUCAGCCAUUUACAAUUGAUGAAAUAAAGCUUUUUCUUAAGCAUCCGACUGAGUGAUGAAGUUUUUCCUGAAAAAAAACAGUGUUUCUGAAAUUAACUGUGAAAUUGUGUCAGAAAGAAAGAAUCUUGAAUUUGAUCAAGUUUUCCUGAAAAGAACAGUGUUUCUGAUAAUAACAAGGAAAUUGUGUCAGAAAUAAAGAAUCUUGAAUCGUAAGUUUUCUGCAAUUUAUUAUUCUUGUUUAAGUUUUAAAAUCUUUUGUAAUUAAAAAUUGCUAAUUACU